rnacentral:rRNA from 1 species
UUGACCUCGGAUCAGGUAGGGAUACCCGCUGAACUUAAGCAUAUCAAUAAGGCGGAGGAAUA